AUUGAACGCUGGCGGCAGGCCUAACACAUGCAAGUCGAACGAGUGGCGGACGGGUGAGUAAUGUAUGGGAAACUGCCUGAUGGAGGGGGAUAACUACUGGAAACGGUAGCUAAUACCGCAUACCAUCAGAUGUGCCCAGAUGGGAUUAGCUAGUGGGUGGGGUAAAGGCUCACCAAGGCGACGCUUCCUAGCUGGUCUGAGAGGAUGACCAGCCACACUGUGACUGAUACACGGUCCAGACUCCUACGGGAGGCAGCAGUGGGGAUUAUGGCACAAUGGGCGCAAGCCUGAUGCAGCCAUGCCGCGUGUAUGAAGAAGGCCUUCGGGUUGUAAAGUACUUUCAGCGGGGAGGCGUUACCCGCAGAAGAAGCACCGGCUAACUCCGUGCCAGCAGCCGCGGUAAUAC
rnacentral:rRNA from 1 species